GGCCUUAUGGUCUAGUCGUAUGAUUCUCCCUUUGGGCGCUACCAUGAUCAAGAUGGUAUGAUCAACCUUGGGAGAGGUCUCGGGUUCAAUUUUCGAUGAGGCCC
rnacentral:tRNA from 1 species